CCUACGGGCGGCAGCAGUGGGGAAUAUUGGACAAUGGGGGCAACCCUGAUCCAGCCAUGCCGCGUGUGUGAAGAAGGCCCUCGGGUUGUAAAGCACUUUCAGUGAGGAAGAACGCCUGGUGGUUAAUACCCAUCAGGAAAGACAUCACUCACAGAAGAAGCACCGGCUAACUCCGUGCCAGCAGCCGCGGUAAUACGGAGGGUGCGAGCGUUAAUCGGAAUUACUGGGCGUAAAGCGCGCGUAGGUGGCUUGAUAAGCCGGUUGUGAAAGCCCCGGGCUCAACUUGGGAACGGCAUCCGGAACUGUCAAGCUAGAGUGCGGGAGAGGAAGGUAGAAUUCCCGGUGUAGCGGUGAAAUGCGUAGAGAUCGGGAGGAAUACCAGUGGCGAAGGCGGCCUUCUGGACUGACACUGACACUGAGGUGCGAAAGCGUGGGUAGCAAACAGGAUUAGAUACCCUAGUAGUC
rnacentral:rRNA from 1 species